AUUGAACGCUGGCGGCAUGCUUACACAUGCAAGUCGAACGAGUGGCGAACGGGUGAGUAAUAUAUCGGAACGUGCCCAGUCGUGGGGGAUAACUGCUCGAAAGAGCACUAAUACCGCAUAGAUUGGAGCGGCCGAUAUCAGAUUAGGUAGUUGGUGGGGUAAAGGCCCACCAAGCCAACGAUCUGUAGCUGGUCUGAGAGGACGACCAGCCACACUGGGACUGAGACACGGCCCAGACUCCUACGGGAGGCAGCAGUGGGGAAUUUUGGACAAUGGGCGCAAGCCUGAUGCAGCCAUGCCGCGUGUGGGAAGAAGGCUUCGGGUUGUAAAGCACUUUCAGCGGGGAGGCGUUACCCGCAGAAGAAGCACCGGCUAACUCCGUGCCAGCAGCCGCGGUAAUUC
rnacentral:rRNA from 1 species